rnacentral:rRNA from 1 species
AACGAACGCUGGCGGCAUGCCUAACACAUGCAAGUCGAACGAGACCUUCGGGUCUAGUGGCGCACGGGUGCGUAACGCGUGGGAACCUGCCCUUAGGUGCGGAAUAACGCGCCGAAAGGGGUGCUAAUACCGGAUAAUGUCUUCGGACCAAAGAUUUAUCGCCUUUGGAUGGGCCCGCGUUGGAUUAGCUAGGUGGUAGGGUAAAAGCCUACCAAGGCGACGAUCCAUAGCUGGUCUGAGAGGAUGAUCAGCCACACUGGGACUGAGACACGGCCCCGACUCCUACGGGAGGCAGCAGUGGGGAAUAUUGGACAAUGGGCGAAAGCCUGAUCCAGCAAUGCCGCGUGAGUGAUGAAGGCCUUAGGGUUGUAAAGCUCUUUUACCCGGGAUGAUAAUGACAGUACCGGGAGAAUAAGCUCCGGCUAACUCCGUG